AUAAUGAGAGUAAGCAGAAGUCUUGAGCCGUUCCUGUUCUUGCUGGAAUAUUACUGCUGUGAUUGAAUGAGUUCAGAGAUCGUGUACAUAAGAAAG
rnacentral:pre_miRNA from 1 species